UUUACAAAGUAUGCAAUACAAAUAUUUGCGGUAUACUUAGGAGGUUUGAUUGAUGGAGAAUUCAGGUUGUUAGCAUGCACUUACAUGUGAACAGAAUCAUUAGACUGAAAAUUUAUUUACUUUCUUGCAUUGUUAAUUGUUGUGGUAAAGUGUAUCCCCAAACUAAGGACUUAAUUCCAUGUUUACCUUCAGGCUAAAUGUUGUCUUAAUUAUCUGAAAUAUCAUAUGAUGUUUAUGCUCAAGACAGAGAUUAUUACUGAUCAUUUUAUCACCCAUGUUUAGCCUACGUACAGGGACGACUUGCUUGUAUAUUGUAUUGCUUCUUUUGAUUAUGUGGCUAGCAUUAAUCAUAUAGUGCAUCUUUCAGUUAUAUGUUCCAUGAGCAAGGUGCUAUUGUCAGGUAGAUGAAGGAUUCAUUCAUGGGAACAAUAAUGGUUCUCAGAUUUAGAGUCCGUGUUGUUGUCCAUCGUGUAUAGGUUUAUAUUUUUUAUGGUAUCAUUUCUGGACCUUGUUUCUGAAUGUACCAUUCUAGACCUUCUUUCUUUGCAGGGGUUGGUUCUGUUCAAUCCGGGGUUUCUUCAUGAUUGUGCUUGCUGGUCGCUUGCCCUGUCUGUUAGUUGUAGUGGUGCAAGCUCUGGCUCAGAGGAGGUGCUCUGAUGGCCUGUGGCAUAUUUCACCGAGGAGGCUCAUCAGCAUGAGUUCCAGGAGGAAUACAGUGCAAGUGAGCUUUACCUGGCAAGUUCAUGAGCAAGAAAAUAUGGUUUGAGAAUAUACCUUUCACGUUGAAGAGGCGGUGCCAUCUGGUUGCCGGUAACUGCGUGUUGAAUCUUCUGCUGGAUGCCAUAUGUCCGAUAAAAUGCCUGGGAGAAGCACCACUAGCAUGGUUGAUCUAUGUUCCUAAUGCAUGGGUGUCCAAGGCUAUGUUCCUAACUUUGGCUCAUUGGCAGCUUCACAUAUCGGCUUUACAAUCAGGCUAUUAACUGCUUACUUCUCCAAGUUCAGUCCAUGGUGCAGAAACUGAAAAGUUAUUUAGUUAGUUUUAAUGGAUAGAAACCAUAUGUCCAGUGCAUUCUCUAUAAAACUAGGUCAAGUAAUAAUGUCUCAUGUUGCGUUGUUUCAGUUCCUGAGGGUCCUGGAGAGGGAGCUGGCUGUAACUGCGAAGACCAAAGAGGCUUUCUUUGCAGACUUCACCCAGGUCAAGACAUCAUUUCCAAAUACAGAGCUGUCCAUCCAAAUUUGUGCAUCUAGCCAAGCAAUUCUUGAUGUUGCUUUGAGCUAGCUGUAUGGUUCAGAGAUGGUUCUUCAUUUCGGCUUCUCUUCAUUUGUGGCUUGUACUGGCUGCUUCUUUCAGAGCUUAUGUGUUCCCUCCUUUCUUACUCCUCGGUCCAUCGAGUAUUCAUAAGUCGUUGUUUGCAAGUUGCAGAUCAACCAGAAAGCCUUUGCGCAACCCAACGAUGGCUAUAGUGCUGCUUUUCAUCUUGUACAUGAAGUUAGCCUGUUCUUCUGGAUGUUCCCGCACUAGCUUCUGGCCAUGCUACCUUAUAAUAUGCAAUUAGCAAUAUCCACCAAGUGAUUGAGGUGCCACAUGUUUGCUUUUGUAUGCGUCUUAGGUUAAUUAUUUUAUCUAAGAACUUCAAAUCGAAGACUCCAAGUAGCAUGUUUAUGUAGCACCCAGACAAUGCUUCUAUCUAACAACUUCGAAUCAAAAUAUCCAAAUUGUUUCUUC